AGCGCGGGAAGCGAGUGGAUCCCUUCGGGGUGAAGCUCGUGGAACGAGCGGCGGACGGGUGAGUAACACGUGGGCAACCUGCCUGUAAGACCGGAAUAACCCCGGGAAACCGGGGCUAAUGCCGGGUAAUACUUUUCUUCGCAUGAAGGAAAGUUGAAAGAUGGCUUCUUGCUAUCACUUACAGAUGGGCCCGCGGCGCAUUAGCUAGUUGGUGAGGUAACGGCUCACCAAGGCGACGAUGCGUAGCCGACCUGAGAGGGUGAUCGGCCACACUGGGACUGAGACACGGCCCAGACUCCUACGGGAGGCAGCAGUAGGGAAUCUUCCGCAAUGGACGAAAGUCUGACGGAGCAACGCCGCGUGAACGAUGAAGGUCUUCGGAUCGUAAAGUUCUGUUGUUAGGGAAGAACAAGUACCGUGCGAAUAGAGCGGUACCUUGACGGUACCUAACGAGGAAGCCCCGGCUAACUACGUGCCAGCAGCCGCGGUAAUACGUAGGGGGCAAGCGUUGUCCGGAAUUAUUGGGCGUAAAGCGCGCGCAGGCGGUUCCUUAAGUCUGAUGUGAAAGCCCACGGCUCAACCGUGGAGGGUCAUUGGAAACUGGGGAACUUGAGGACAGAAGAGGAGAGUGGAAUUCCACGUGUAGCGGUGAAAUGCGUAGAUAUGUGGAGGAACACCAGUGGCGAAGGCG
rnacentral:rRNA from 1 species